rnacentral:rRNA from 1 species
UACAUAGGGUCCAAGCGUUGUCCGGAAUUAUUGGGCGUAAAGAGCUCGUAGGCGGUCCGUUAAGUCGGAAGUGAAAUCUCAAGGCUCAACCUUGAAAUCGCUUUCGAUACUGGCGGACUUGAGGCAGGUAGGGGAAGGUGGAAUUCCUGGUGUAGCGGUGAAAUGCGCAGAUAUCAGGAGGAACACCGGUGGCGAAGGCGGCCUUCUGGGCCUGUUCUGACGCUGAGGAGCGAAAGCGUGGGGAGCAAACAGG